CUGCCGCAGAGGUGAGCACCGCCAGCUGGCCGCUCUCUAGUUUAUCACCAUUGUCCAACAGCAGUAUCCCUCCUGACCAACAGCGACUCAUCUUUGCUGGAAAGCAACUGGAAGAUGGACGCACUCUGUCAGAUUAUAACAUU